CCUACGUGGGGCAGCAGUGAGGAAUCUUGGUCAAUGGCCGGAAGGCUGAACCAGCCAUGCCGCGUGAAGGUCAGUGCCCUAUGGGCGUUAAACUUCUUUUGUGCGGGAGCAAUAAUGGUCACGUGUGGCCAGACGAGAGUACCGUACGAAUAAGCAUCGGCUAACUCCUUGCCAGCAGCCGCGGUAAUACGGGGGGUGCAAGCGUUAUCCGGAGUUAUUGGGUUUAAAGGGUGCGUAGGCGGUGAGGUAAGACAGCGGUGAAAUGCCCCCGCUCACCGGGGUGAAGUGCCAUUGAUACUGGCUUGCUGGAAUGGGGAUGAAGUGGGAGGAAUGUGUGGUGUAGCGGUGAAAUGCAUAGAUAUCACACAGAACACCGAUUGCGAAGGAAUCUCACG
rnacentral:rRNA from 1 species